UACGUAGGGGGCUAGCGUUGUCCGGAAUCAUUGGGCGUAAAGCGCGUGUAGGCGGUCCGGUAAGUCUGCUGUGAAAGUCGGGGGCUCAACCCUCGGAAGCCGGUGGAUACUGCUGGGCUAGAGUGCGGAAGAGGCGAGUGGAAUUCCUGGUGUAGCGGUGAAAUGCGCAGAUAUCAGGAGGAACACCAAUUGCGAAGGCAGCUCGCUGGGACGUGACUGACGCUGAGACGCGAAAGCGUGGGGAGCAACAGG
rnacentral:rRNA from 1 species